GGGGGAUCACUGGAUCUUGGGCUGUGUCCCCCGGCGCCCUGGACUCCAGGGCCUGUGCUGCCUGAGCUGCUUCCGUGGCCAUGCAGCCCCCU
rnacentral:pre_miRNA from 1 species